rnacentral:rRNA from 1 species
UACGUAGGGUGCGAGCGUUGUCCGGAAUUAUUGGGCGUAAAGGGCUCGUAGGCGGUUUGUCGCGUCGGGAGUGAAAACCAUGGGCUUAACUCAUGGCUUGCUUUCGAUACGGGCAGACUAGAGGUAUGCAGGGGAGAACGGAAUUCCUGGUGUAGCGGUGAAAUGCGCAGAUAUCAGGAGGAACACCAGUGGCGAAGGCGGCUUUCUGGGCAUUUCCUGACGCUGAGACGCGAAAGCGUGGGGAGCGAACCGG